UGAUGAUAUAUGGCAGCCAUCUACUGUUGCUAGGAAACGGAAAUGCACAACACUAACCGGAAAAAAUAAAAUCGACCUCAGCUGGUUAGCUUAACAAUUUCAUAAUAAAGUAUUAUAAUCACAUUCAAAAGCUGCAAAAAAAAUGUCAAAGGGACUCGUAUGCUUUGAUAUCUCAAAAAAUGAACGUUUCCAAUUAGCCGAUAAUUACAAAAUGUUGCAUCGCAAAGUAAAAAUAAAUUGGAAAGUUGAACAGAGUGAUGGCGAGUUGAAGAAAGAAAGAUUACAACGCGUAAACAUAUUUGUGUUGGCCGGUCCUCAGGAUCGUUUCACCGAAGAAGAAUUUCAAGUGUUGAAGGAAUUUGUAGAUAAGGGUGGUAGACUAUUGGUGAUGCUUGGUGAAGGAGGUGAACAAGAAUUCAAUACAAACGUGAAUUUCUUUUUAGAACAAUACGGCAUAUACAUAAAUAACGACACUGUAGUACGCUCCCACUACUAUAAAAAUUUUCAUCCCAAGGAGUGCAUUAUUGGUGGAGGUGUAGUGUGUGAAUCAAUGUGGCGUCAUUUGAUUAAACAGGAUAUUGAGAAAGUCGAUUAUGAUUUUAGCGAUGAAAAAUAUAAAAUACACUUUCAAUAUCCAUACGGUGCAACUUUAAAUGUUUCGGAGCCAGCAAAUGUUCUACUUAGUACAGGACCUGUCGUUUAUCCAUUUAAUCGACCUCUGGCGGGUUACUAUACUAACGAACGUGGCGGCAAGAUACUUGCUAUUGGCUCUGGCUACAUGUGGCAUGAUAAAUAUUUGCAAAACGAUAAAACAAACGAUGCCUUAUUGGAGUAUUUUAUGCAACUGUUGGGCGGCAAUGAAAUACAGUACUCGCAUUUGGAUUUUAAUGAUGUUGAGAUCAAUGAUAAUAAAACAUUCACUGAUAUCGCCUUUAUUGCUGAUAUGCCAAAAGCUUGUCUUGUAGACUCGAUUGGUGGCACCGAAACUCCUGCAGAUUUCAAACUAAUGUUUGACAUGACUAUUUAUUCGCUGAGUAAUCGCCUGUUGAAAGAUGUUAUGGACGCAUACGAGCAGUUAAAUGUCAAAUAUGAACAACUGAAAAUAAUCAAGCCACAAUUUGAAAUACCUUUGCCCCCGUUACAACUAGCAACAUUCCCACCCAUCUUCAGCGAACCUGCCGCACCACCACUUGAACUUUACGAUUUGGAUGAGGUAUUCAGUGCAGCGCGUACGCAACUCGCUAAUAUGACCAGCAAAUGUGUACAAUCUAUUUAUGCAAAGGAUGCACGUAAGCCGUUAAAUGCACGUGAACUGGAGAAUUAUAUUAAAGAAUGCGCGCGAAUUACGGGUAUCAUACAUGAGCAUCAAGAUGUACAACCGCGUGAGAUACUCAACAUACUUGCUAAUCAGAUUAUCAGCUAUAAACCAUAUGCGGAUGAAUAGCGGAUUUGAAGUUCCUUCUAAUGUAGAGAAGGAUUGAUAUUUGAAAUACAUGGAGAAAUAAAGGAAACCACGGUUUUAGAAAUAAAUAUAGAAAAGAAGAACGAAAAUAAUCUUAAUAAGCAGAUUCAUAGCUGCUGGCCAAGGCGAAUUCAUAAAGGUG